CGUAGGUGGCGAGCGUUGUCCGGAUUUACUGGGCGUAAAGGGAGCGUAGGCGGACUUUUAAGUGAGAUGUGAAAUACCCGGGCUCAACUUGGGUGCUGCAUUUCAAACUGGAAGUCUAGAGUGCAGGAGAGGAGAAUGGAAUUCCUAGUGUAGCGGUGAAAUGCGUAGAGAUUAGGAAGAACACCAGUGGCGAAGGCGAUUCUCUGGACUGUAACUGACGCUGAGGCUCGAAAGCGUGGGGAGCAAACAGGAUUAGAUACCCU
rnacentral:rRNA from 1 species